rnacentral:rRNA from 1 species
UGCGCAGGCGGCCCGAUAAGUCAGGGGUGAAAUAUGACGGCUCAACCGUCAAACUGCCCCUGAAACUGUCAGGCUUGAGUUCGAGAGAGGUAAGUGGAAUUCCAGGUGUAGCGGUGAAAUGCGUAAAUAUCUGGAGGAACACCGGUGGCGAAGGCGGCUUACUGGCUCGAUACUGACGCUCAGGCACGAAAGCAUGGGGAGCGAACG